rnacentral:rRNA from 1 species
GUGCCAGCAGCCGCGGUAAGACGAAGGUGGCAAGCGUUGUUCGGAUUCACUGGGCAUAAAGGGCGCGUAGGCGGUUCGGUAAGCGGCGUGUGAAAGCCCCUGGCUCAACCAGGGAAGUGCACGCCGGACUGCCGUUCUAGAGGGUGGUAGGGGGGACUGGAACUCUCGGUGGAGCGGUGAAAUGCGUAGAUAUCGAGAGGAACACCGGUGGCGAAGGCGAGUCCCUGGUCCACUUCUGACGCUGAGGCGCGAAAGCGUGGGUAGCAAACAGGAUUAGAUACCCGGGUAGUCC